UACGGGGGGGGCAAGCGUUGUUCGGAAUUACUGGGCGUAAAGGGCGCGUAGGCGGCCAACUAAGUCGGAUGUGAAAUCCCCAGGCUCAACUUGGGAACUGCAUCCGAUACUGGUCGGCUUGAAUCCGGGAGAGGGAUGCAGAAUUCCAGGUGUAGCGGUGAAAUGCGUAGAUAUCUGGAGGAAUACCGGUGGCGAAGGCGGCAUCCUGGACCGGCAUUGACGCUGAUGUGCGAAAGCUAGGGGAGCAAACAGG
rnacentral:rRNA from 1 species